rnacentral:rRNA from 1 species
AGCAGCCGCGGUAAUUCCAGCUCCAAUAGCGUAUAUUAAAGUUGUUGCAGUUAAAAAGCUCGUAGUUGAAUUUCGGGAUCAGUACGCUGGUCAUGCCUUUGGUAUGUACUGGUGUUACUGGUUCCUACCUUCUGACGAACCGUCAUGUCAUUCAUUUGGUGUGGCGGGGAACCAGGACUGUUACUUUGAAAAAAUUAGAGUGUUUAAAGCAGGCUCGCGCUUGAAUACAUUAGCAUGGAAUAAUGAAAUAGGACGUUUGAUCCUAUUUUGUUGGUUUCUAGGAUUGACGUAAUGAUUAAUAGGGAUAGUUGGGGGCAUUAGUAUUCAAUUGUCAGAGGUGAAAUUCUUGGAUUUAUUGAAGACUAACUACUGCGAAAGCAUUUGCCAAGGAUGUUUUCAUUAAUCAAGAACGAAAGUUAGGGGAUCGAAGACGAUCAGAUACCGUCGUAG